UGAUGUAAGUAAAACACAUUUAUCUUGGGAAUAUUAAUUAGAAAAAAAAAAACAAUUUAUUAUUAAUGUUUUUGGAAGUAUAAGUAAACUAUCAUGACUAUUGGUAUAUUCUUACUUUGAUGUAUAUUUGAUUAAAUUGUAUGAACCUAGCCCAGGAUACAAAAGUAUGUGAUUAACUCAUCGGGUGAUGUGUAUACAAAAUUUAAUUUUCAGAGCAAAUAUUAAAAUUUUAUAAAUAAAAUAAUGCUCAAAAAGGUACUCCAAGAUUUUGAAUAUGUACAGUUGCUCCAACGCAUAAUCGUACAGUGGUUUCAUUUCUACAAAAUGUGCAAUAAACUUAGAAAGAACCGCUAUAUAUUUGUUUCGCUCUUAUUUAAAGUUGUACACUUACUUAUCCAAAAAACUAAACCUUUCAAAUAUUAACGGUUAAUUCAAAGAGUAGAACUAAAAAUAAUACAGUUUUUAAAGUUUAACAAAUAAUCGGACAAAGCAAAGAGAGUAAAUGAAAAAUACCGUUACUUAAAAAUUUUCACUCCAAGCACCUUUUUUUUUGUUCUGAUCAAUCUUUCAAGGCAAACUUUUAAGUGAAAGAGAAGAGCGGUCAAUAUUAAAAGAAAUGAAAAAAAUCCUUUCAAAACAGCAAAAGAUCUUCAAGUUUCCUUAAAAAAUCGUGUUGGAAAGGACGUUUGCCUCAACACUGUCCGUAAAACACUCCAUAGAUACGAAUACUAUGGAAGAGUUACCAGAAAAAAAAAACAUUUAUUAGCCUAAAAAACAAAAAUAAAAGGUUAAAUUAUGCAAAAGAUAAUUUAUUGAAACAGGAAGAUUUUUGGAAUACGGUAAUGUGUUCAUAUUUCUAAAAAAAAUAUAUUGUAAUUUGCAGUUUUCGAUGCUUUAAGGUCUUGUUUACUGAUGAGAGCAAAUUUAUUUUGCAUGGCUCGGAUGGAAAGAUGUAUGUGUGGCGUAAGCCAAAUACUGAGUUCCAGCAACAAAACACCAAAGCCACAAUAAAACAC